rnacentral:rRNA from 1 species
AUUGAACGCUGGCGGCAUGCUUUACACAUGCAAGUCGAACGGUAACAGGCCGCAAGGUGCUGACGAGUGGCGAACGGGUGAGUAAUGCAUCGGAACGUGCCCAGUCGUGGGGGAUAACGCAGCGAAAGCUGUGCUAAUACCGCAUACGAUCUAUGGAUGAAAGCGGGGGACCGUAAGGCCUCGCGCGAUUGGAGCGGCCGAUGUCAGAUUAGGGAGUUGGUGGGGUAAAGGCUCACCAAGCCAACGAUCUGUAGCUGGGCUGAGAGAACGACCAGCCAAACUGGGACGGAGACGCCGCCCAGACUCCUACGGGAGGCAGCAGUGGGGAAUUUUGGCCAAUGGGCGCAAGCCUGAUCCAGCAAUGCCGCGUGCAGGAAGAAGGCCUUCGGGUUGUAAACUGCUUUUGUACGGAACGAAAAGGUUUGGGUUAAUACCCUGGGCCGAUGACGGUACCGUAAGAAUAAGCACCGGCUAACUACGUGCCAGCCGCCGCCGUAAGAC